GAUCCCUUGGGCUGCUGUGUGGUGCAGGAGGAAGCAUCUCUCUACAUUUUGGUCAACAUCUGUCUGAACAUCCUGAUUGCUAACCCAAAGAAAUUGUGUUUUGAAAAACCUGAUGGAACAUUGUACCUUCCAGACUCUAUCCUAGCCUUGCAAUUCUCACUUGCACAAACUGCACAACUUGAAGAAGAGCUAUUUGUGGCAAUUGAGGAACUUUUAGCAAUAGUAAAACAAAAGGCUACUGAGAAUUUAGAGAAUGGUACCAUCUUGUGUAGUUUAAAAGUACUUAACAUCUUACAGAUGAGUCUCCAGCUUCCUGCAAGCACUUUACUGAAAAUCAAGUAAUUGGCAAUCCUUGUGUAAGUCUGGGAGAAUAAUCUCACUGAAGUCAGAAAACUUUCUUUCAAAGUGGCCACUAAAGAUGUGGUAUAGCCUAUCAGCAUUCUGUUCCAUAGCAAAGAAAGAGAAGUCAGUUAUGUUGUUGCAGAUGUCAUAACCCACCUGACAUCUGGCAAACAGCCUAAAUAUCCCAUAACUUGCAAAGAUUUUUUCCUCUCCAGGAGCUUCAUGCAACCAUACCAAAUUGGCCAAGUUCAAGGUGUAAGAUGGCAGCGUUAGUGACCUACAGAUCCUUCAAGGUAUUUUUUCCCACUCCUUGAUAAAUUUUCUGAACCAAUGAUUUGACACUGGUCAUGAUGGGCUAUGUAUCGUAUCUGCAGUAAAAACUUCAGCAAAUACUGCAAAAUGUUAUUUGAAGAAAGAUUACGGCUUGUUAUGUGACAUCCAGGAACACAGUGAAGCAAACGCCCAAAUGCAGCAGAUUGCAACCUCCAUUCUAGA
rnacentral:lncRNA from 1 species